GCUACAUUAGUAUAUUCGGCAAGUACGUCGGACUUUCGAUCCGAUAAGCGGGGUUCAAAUCCCCGAUGUAGCA
rnacentral:tRNA from 1 species